rnacentral:lncRNA from 1 species
GCAACAAAAGAAAGGAAGAAGAUUGAUACUCUUUCCGCUGCCUUUUCAAGGCCACAUAAACCCAAUGCUUCAGCUUGCAAACAUUCUCUAUUCAAAAGGCUUUUCAAUCACCAUAAUCCACACCAAAUUCAACUCCCCGAAUCCCUCAAACUACCCUCACUUCACCUUCUGUUCAAUCCAAGACGGCUUGUCAGAAACUGAAGCCUCUACCACGGAUUUCGUGGCCCUUAUUUCAGUACUGCAUGUUAAGUGUGCUGCGCCAUUUCAGGAUUGCUUGGCCAAGUUGCUGUCAAAUGCUGAGGAGGAGGAAGAAGAGCCUAUUGCUUGCUUAAUCACAGAUGCUAGUUGGUUCUUCACUCAAGAUGUUGCUGAAAGCCUAAAGCUCCCCAGGAUUGUGUUAAGGAGUCUCAGUGUCUCUUCCUCUCUUGUUUAUGCUGCCUUACCAGUUCUAAGCCAAAAGGGUUACUUCCCCAUACAAGGUGCAAUUCAAUAACUUCUUGCUUCUAGUGUGUUUCAUUGAUAAUUUUUUUCAGUAUGCAUUGUUUGAUUAUUAAAUAUUGCCCUCGACAGAUCUUCCCUGAGGAUGAUUCAGAUUCUUGUUACAUAAAAAGUAGUUAAAUAAAAUCUGAAGGACACCAAUUCAUAAUAGUAAUGACUAAUGAUCACUGCACUUGGUAUCUAAAUUAUCUUUUUUUUUUUUAAAUUGUUUUUGUUCUUCAUUGUUCAGAUUCUCAUGAUUUGGAAUCCCCAGUGCCAGAGCUUCCGCCUCUAAGAAUGAAAGACAUUCCUGUCAUUGAAACGCGUUAUCAAGAGACACUGCAUCAAUUUGCAGCAGAAGCAAUCAAUCAGAUGAAGGCUUCCUCAGGAUGCAUAUGGAAUUCAGUUCAGGAACUUGAACAAGAUUCUCUUGCUAAAUUUCACCAGGAGUUCCCCAUUCCAUCGUUCCCUAUAGGCCCGUUUCACAAGUACUUUCCAGCUUCUGCAAGUAGCUUAUUGUCACAAGACCGAACCUGCAUUUCUUGGUUAGACAAACAGGCACCAAAAUCUGUAAUUUAUGUAAGUUUUGGAAGCAUUGCUGCCAUUGAUGAGACCAAAUUUUUGGAAGUAGCUUGGGGCCUAGCCAACAGCAAGGUGCCAUUCUUGUGGGUGGUACGGCCAGGACUAGUCCGCGGAGCAGAAUGGAUUGAGCUAUUACCACGAGGGUUCUUGGAAAUGUUAGACGGAAUAGGGCAUAUAGUGAAAUGGGCUCCCCAGCAAGAAGUGCUAGCUCAUCCUGCCACCGGAGCAUUUUGGACACAUUGUGGCUGGAAUUCGACGUUGGAAAGUAUGUGUGAAGGUGUCCCCAUGAUAUGCCAGCCUUGUCAUGGUGAGCAAAUGGUGAUUGCAAGAUAUGUUAGUGAUGUUUGGAAAGUUGGUUUGCAUUUGGAAAGGAAGCUGGAGAGAGGGGAGGUUGAAAGGGCAAUUAGAAGAGUAAUGGUGGAUGCCGAGGGGCGGGAAAUGAGGAACAGAGCUGCGAUUCUGAAGGAAAAACUGGAUCUUUGUACAAAGCAAGGCGGUUCUUCAUAUCAAUCUCUAGAAAACUUGAUUAGUUACAUUUUGUCAUACUAGAUUUUCCAACACUUACAUCUAUCUUUCUAAUAAUGGCAGUAUGAAAAUUAAAACAUGGCAUGUCCCGGCCGUAUUCAAUGAGAUCUUUCUGAAUAUUUAUGUGAUCAGCGUUCCCCAACCCAAGGAGUGACACUUGAAGGACUUUUCCAAAAUCCGUAGCAAGGCCAAGUUUAUAUUGUUUAAGGGGAUUUUUUUUUAUUGUUUUUUUUUUUAAUUUUUUUGCAAUAAUUGUGGGGUGUUGAAGAAAAAGCUGAUAAGAUAGUGACCUGCACUCUCUUCUAGUCUUCUUGCAUUAACAGUGUCCGAAGUUUGUGCAUUUGUUUGAUAUUUGUGAUCCUUACAGGAAAUCAAAAGUCGGAUUUGAAUUUGUGAGCUGAAUAAAGACGUGAGUUGGUUUGUGUUGCUCUUGUUGUUUAAUUUCCCACUUCUUCAUGUGAAGGAAUGCAUUAUAUUUCAUUUAGCAAUUUAUUAGAUUAUUAAUUAUUGUUGCUCGUUAAACUAAAGUUUCGUUCACCAAUAAAAUAUUUAAUUAACUCAUUGUACGUGCGUACGGCUAAUGAACAACAGUAUAAGUGAGAAAUUAAACAGAAAGCAGGAAGCAGAAAGAUUCAAUGGAGAAUCAAAUAGAGUCACAUACGCAACAAUGAGAACGGAAUAAGAGUGAUACUCUUCGCAAAAGAGUCCAUGCUUCAGCUUGCAAGCAUUCUCUAUUCCAGAGGCUUCUCAGCCUCUGUAAUUCAAUACCAGCUUCAACUCUCCAAAAUCUUCAAACUACGUACCCUCUCUUCUAGUGGAGCUGUGGAGUUCCCCAAAAAAAAAAAAAAAAAAAAAAAAAAAAAAUCCAUCAUUUUCUAUCCGACCUUUUCCUUUGAUAUGAUUAUUAGUGGAGGAGAAAAAAUGAGUCAGAAACUUUAGAUUAGACAUCUGCAAUUCUGCAUGGGUAACGUCACUCAUUCAAUAGUUGGGCUAAAGUUUGGAUUCUAAUAAGAGGGCGAGAUAAGCCCAUUGGGCCUAUAAGCUGAUAACAGCGCCGAAAAGCUAACUAAAACAGGAGCAGCAAAUCAAAUUAUUACUUCAGUUUUAUGGCUGCCACAUGGUUCUCUGCUUGUCUUGUCUAAUGGGCAACGCCAAUGCGUCGGUGCUCUGCCUUUGUGCCCCAUCUAAUAAUAUAUUAUUAUUAUGAUUAUGAUCUAAUUCAUACAUAAUUCAUGCAUAUCCUUUCUAAGUGAUUGGGUUGCCACUAUUUUACAUUACUUUUUUACAUCUUUUUUUAUGCAUGUAUUGCUUUAUGCAAGUCUAAAAGAGGUUCUAUGAUAUCAUACAAACUCAAAAAAGUAAGCACCUCUUUCUUUUUAUAUGCAUUUAAUUUUUUACCUACUUGGUGUGCUAGUGUUAUGGUGUAAAGACAAGAUUGAUCUGUAAUCUCAAAAUAAAAUUUAGUGGGUGAUGUCAUUGUGCAAUAUUGUCACGAGCCUUCUGGUUGAUUCAAAAUGUUGGCAUUAUUUAUCGAACAUUAUAGAAUAUAAAAUAAAUUACCAAAUUAUAUUUGAUAAUGAACUGUUCUAUUGAUGUUUGUGCAUGAGACUCAAUUUUCUUAACAGCAAGAGAUUGCAUUAGUUGGCUCAAUAUUUUAUGUAGGUGAGUUUGUAUUUAUAGAUCAUGCGAAUUGCGACCGUCUCUUAAAAGGUGGCAUUUGUUGGAUUCCUUAAAAAUUUAUAGUUUAUAUUUAUUAUUUAAAUUUAUAAAUAUAAAUAAAAUUAUUCACCAACGAUCACCGUGAACCAUUGCAAAUUGCUUCAGGCAUUCAUAUUUUGAUAGUUUUUAACUUCAAUUCUAGUGCUAUUAGAAUCCUUGUCAGCGGAUCGGAUCUAUACAACGAGUGAGCGAAAGCUUUGAUUCUAGUAUUUCGUAUGCCAUCAGGUAGUUCCAAUGAUAAAGACUCCAUUGGUACCAAAAUUGAUGUCGAAGAAUAUUAAAAUAAUAUUAUCGGCAGUGAAUUGUGGUGGUCAAUUAUAGGCAAUAUUUUUAGCAUUCGAAUUUAUUAUUUUAUAAACUAAUAAUAAAUAAAUUAAAUAUAUUGUAAUUGAUUAAAUAAUUCUAUGUUUUAAAAGUCAGCAAUAUAUCUUAUUCACGGUGGGAUUGUAUAGCAUUACGUUAUGGGCCCAGCAUUACUUUGAUAAUGCGGCAAAAGAUGCAUUAAGGCCUUCGGUUAAUGUUGCUCAAUGCAAAUUUAAGGGUAAUUUUUAAAAACCUUCCCUGAGGUUUGAGUUUGUUGCAAGUAGAUGGCGAUAAUUUGUUUAUUUGUAAAAAAUUUCCUACCGUUAGUUAAUUUUAACAUUGACCGUUAGUUGACUGUGUAAAGAUAAUAUUACCCUUAACAACAGUUUAUAGACGGAAAUAACUAAAAAAAAAUUAAAAUUAUUGGCUAUUUUACCCUCUUUAAAUUAUUGAUAUUUUCUUAAAGUUCCUACAAGAAAGAUAAAAUUAAAAACUUGAAAAAUUCUCUUUAAAUUAUUGAUAUUUCCUUAAAAUUCCUACAAGAAAGAUAAAAUUAAAAAUUUGAAAAUGAAAUAGUCAUAAUCUUUACCUAUGAUAUUGUAAAUAUUUGGAAUUGACAAGGAUAAAAUUGUUAAAAAAUAGGAUUUGUGCUUUUCGCGCCAACAAUUUUAGUUUUUUUUUUAGUUAUGUCAGUCUACAAAUUGUUGUUAAGGGCAAUAUUAUUUUUACACAGUUAACUAACGGUCAAUAUUAAAAUUAACUGACAGUAAGGAGUUUUUUAUAAAUAAACAGAUUCUCGCCAUCUACUUGUAAUAAGCCCAAAUUUCAGGGGAGGUUUUUAAAAAUUACCCGCAAAUUUAAUAGAGAAAGCAGAGUCAUUUGAAUCUUUCAUUAAACACAACAUAGCAAGCAAAAAAAAAAAAAAAAAGAUUCAAUGGAUGUACUUGGAGAUUCUCACAUUCAUCAAAAGAAAGGAAGAAGACUGAUACUCUUCCCACUGCCUUUACAAGGCCACAUAAACCCAAUGCUUCAGCUUGCAAACAUUCUAUAUUCCAAAGGCUUUGCAAUCACCAUAAUCCACACCAACUUCAACACCCCGAAUACCUCAAACUACCCUCAGUUCAGCUUCUGUUCAAUCGAAGACAGCUUGUCAGAAACUGAAGCCUCUACCGCGGAUUUAGU